CCAAGAGCGCCCCAGUACGGCGCCCGACGUGAAAGAGAGAACAUGCGCAUGCGCCGAGCCAGAUAGCCCGCGACGCGAGUUUGAGUUCCUUGGAUUGGAUUACCGCAUUGGAUUACGACUGGAAACAUUGGAUUGUAGAUUUGGAUAAUCUCGAAUCGGAGUGGUCGGCCCACAAUCGAGUAGUGUUGGAUUAGUACUGUGCUACUGUAAUUUUUCAACAGGCGAUGAUUUUUAAGUAAAUGUGAAAUAUUUUCAAAACGCAAGAGAAUGAAAUAAAAAAAUCCGAAAUUAUAUUUAAGCGAAAACUCAGUGCGUGCUUAAGAUCUAUGUAAAUUUAUUAAUUUAUUGAUUACGAUUUUUCUUUCCCCCGGUCGAAUUUGGUCUCUUUGGAGAUUGUAAAUAAGUGUACAUUUUAAGAAGCUUAAUUCUUUCCUCUUAAAAAAUGUCUUGUCGGCCCUUGAUGAUAUGCUCAAAGAUUUAGUUACCAGUUAUAUUGAAGUGCGCAGUUUUUUUAUUUUUUGCCACGAUUGUGAAAAAUCUGCGUGCAAGUGUAUGUGCUUGGUUAAGUCGGAGAGAAACUACACACGAUGAAGUACCUUUUUACGGUUUUGGCGCUGUCUUCAGUUCUGGCCGUAGUCUCGUCGCUGGGCUCGGAAGACGCUGACGCAAAACCAAAAAAAGGCGAUAAAUUCACGGCGCAAAGGCGCCUGAGUCGCAAUGGAGCCCUGAGCCCGCAGAAGAGGCUAGCACGACAGCCGAAUCCUACGUCAACGCCCGCGGUACCAUCGUACGCGGUGCCCAUGGAGCCUCUGGUACAGUACUCGCAACGGGAUCCCCUGUACCACGAUAAGGAUGAUGAGCCCAUCGUGGAGAGCUUCACUACACCCGGCUACGAGCAGAAGUCGCGGAUAGACCAUCUCGUCGCGGAGCCGAGCAAUCAUAUCACUGAUAUCUCUGGAGCAGGUUACGUGGAACGAGGCGGGUACAACGGUCCCUUCCUGGACCACCCGGCCCCCGUCUACGGUGUACCGACCUACUAUAAAGAACCGGAGCCGAUAAUCGAGAUCAUCAUCAAAGAAUCGAACGAAUCCCUACCAGCCCCACCCACACCUCCCACCCACACACCGACCCCACCCACUAAGGAGCCCGUCCAGGUCUUCUACGUCAAGUACAAGAAGAACCCAACAGCCACGGCAAAGAGGAUGACGUCAUCUACGAUCCGCCUAUCCCAGCCCUAAGUCCCCACACCCACGACAUCGUCGAACCUUCCCACCAGCCAGCGCCCCCGGUCCCAACCUACGGCGCGCCUCCCGCGACGGUAGCCCCGCCCCCUAGCACCACCAUCAAAGCCAUCAUCAGGCCAGAUUCGGAGACGUAUCAUGGGACCUCCGGGUUGCGGAUUUCCUUUGGGAAACCUGACGAGAGCGGCCACGACUUCGCAUCGUACCACCGGGCGGCCAUCGCCGAUGGCCCGAUUGAAGCCCAGAAGCGUGACUCCAUCAGCGAGCAGAGCGAGCCUCACUUCAGCCAAGUCUCCAGUUCGAGCCCCGUGGAGUUGACUGAAAAACCGAGCGUGGCUAUAGUCACGCCUCACGCUCACAAGCGGCAGCAAACCGAGUUUCAGCCUCAACCCACCCGGAGGUCAAGUUCACGCGGCAGGAGCCUUUCAUCCCCUCGCAACCCCACAUUGAGACCUACCAAACACCGCCACCGGUCACCUUCCAGCAGUCUCAACCCCAGCAAAGGGUUGUUUUCCCGGGGCAACAACCACCCUUCAGGCCCCAGCAUACGAAUAACGUCUUCAACAACAGGCAGAACCAGCCUCAGCAACACACUCAAAGGAACCCACCUCCGUUCUUAGGGCCGUUCAACCCCAAUCAACGCCAGCAAACCCCGUUCAUUCCCCCACCGAAUCAACAGAGACCAAACAGCCCUCAACCGACCGGCCAGAACCAGGUGCACCGACCCUUCGUGCCUCCCAACAAAAUCAGCCUCCACAGUUCCCGGUGCCACACGCUUCGAACUAUCAUCCCAGGUGCAACCACAGGGUAAUUUCCAGUUCGGACCGCGCCCGAAUUUCAACCCCAACCAGCAGUUCGUCCAACCGAACCCCCAACCGUCGAAUAAUCUUCCCCAGCAUUUGAACCACCAACCGAACUUCAACCAACAAUUCAACCCCCCGCAGCGGCAACCUGGGUUCACUCCUCACCACCAGUUCAACACCCAGCCCCAGAAUCAACAGUUCAACCAACAGAACCAACGGAUCCAACAGCGUCCUAACCCGCAGCAGUUCCAACCCUUCGUUGCCUCGCCUCAGUUCAACCCCCCAAACCAGCACCCCCAACAGAACUUCGGGCCCCCACAACAGCAGCCGUCAAAUAAUUUCUGCAGCAGCGCAACCCCCACCACCACCAGUUCCAUCAGCAACCCCAGCCAAGCUCCCCAACAACCGCAACAAACCACCACCAACAACCUCAACAAAACCCGCAGCAGCAUAACACCCUCCAGCAACAGCAAUCCAUCCACCAGCAGCAUCAACCCAUCCACCAGCAACAACAACCCAUCCACCAACAACCCCAACAACAAUUCCACCAACACAAUCACCAACAGGACGGUCACCAACAACCGCAACAACAGUUCCACCAACAGAACAGGCCGGAGUUCGGGGCUCGCCAACAGAACUUCCAUCAGCAUCAACCCCAGUUCACCCAGGCGGAAACCACUCAUCAGCCUAUUUCAACCGGGCGUCCAUACGUCACUGUAACCCGUGACUCGACGCCGAAACAGUCUAGUCAGUCACCGAAUUACCGCUCGACCGAGGGAUUCCGUCCAACCACGUCUUCCUACAAGUCUUCAACGCCUUCUUACCUCCAGUACUCGGAAGAACAGGAGGAGGAAAAGAAGUAUUACAAGAAGCCAACGGAGAGUCCUUCUCGCAGUUUCCACCCAACCACAAGCCGGACAAAGAGGGAAAGUACUCGAGUAUAUUCUCGCCCGGAAAAUCACCCAAGACGCAACAGGUAAAAUUAUUAAACAUGAAAAUCUUAGCUUUGAUAAAGAGUUAGGGAACGAUGUUUAAAAUGCUUUCAAAAGAUUCAAGAUAAGGUAAAUUGGAGUGA
rnacentral:lncRNA from 1 species